CCUACGGGUGGCAGCAGUGAGGAAUAUUGGUCAAUGGACGCAAGUCUGAACCAGCCAUGCCGCGUGCAGGAUGACGGCCUUAUGAGUUGAAAAUUGCUUUUGUACGAGGGUAAACCCCGAUACGUGUAUCGGGUUGAAAGUAUCGUACGUAUAAGGAACGGCUAACUCCGUGCCAGCCGACGCGGUAAUACGGAGGAUACGAGCGUUGUCCGGAUUUAUUGGGUUUAAAGGGUACGUAGGCGGUUUGAUAAGUUAGAGGUGAAAUGCCGGGGCUCAACCCCGAAACUGCCUCUAAUACUGGUGAACUAGAGAAUAGUUGCGGUAGGCGGAAUGUAUGGUGUAGCGGUGAAAUGCUUAGAGAUCAGACAGAACACCGAAUGCGAAGGCAGCUUACCAAGCUAUAUCUGACGUUGAGGCACGAAAGCGUGGGUAGCAAACAGGAUUAGAUACCCCGGUAGUC
rnacentral:rRNA from 1 species